rnacentral:lncRNA from 1 species
CAGUUACUGCCACCCUCUCCCAGGUCUAGAGAGGGGUACCCACGGUGGAGGGAGGUGGGAGGCCGAGACGGCCCCGGGGGUCGGCGGAGACCCAGCGGGAGCAGGGGGAAAUCGGAAGAGCUGGGGGCAUGGAGCGGGCGAGUUUGGAGCGGAAUGAGCCGGGAGCCCUACGUUGUGGAAGGAAGACAACAGUAUAGGACCAUCAGCAGGACCGGACAGAGAGGGGCACGGUUUCUCUGUAUAGCCCUGGCUGUCCUGGAACUUGUAGACCAGGCUGGCCUUGAACUCAGAAAUCCGCCUGCCUCUGACUCCCGAGUGCUGAGAUUAAAGGUGUGCACCACCACACCCGACAAGGAAGCCUGUUUUAAGAAGUGAUUCCAUGGAGGAGUUCUGCGGCGGCUCAGGGCUUGACUAAACAGUGGACCUCAGACAAGAGAGGCUAAACCAGGCUGCAGGUGACAGGAAGAAUUGAAUAAACUGAAAGCAAAGGGCAGCCUUCUAAUUACGCUUCGUGGCUAUGUGGACAACCUGGAGAAGUCUGGAAACCUUUCCUCCUCCAUUUUACUACUUGAGGGAGCAGUGGGUGGGAUACUAGAAAGAAGCCAGAAGCCCGAAGCCAGCAGUAGAGCUCUGACUGGCUUGUAUGCCUAGAAAGGAAGGGCUCUUCUUUCGCCUCACGGGCACAAAUGGGACCCACGAGCGCCGAUUUCAGACUAUUCUGAUCCCUUCAAAAAGAAAGUUAGGAGUCCAGGCUACUGUGAGUGAAUUUGAUUCUAAUUGUUUCAGAGAAUAUGGAAUAAAAUAUCUCAUUUGCA